rnacentral:lncRNA from 1 species
AGAUUGAUCAAGAGGAAUUUAGCUGUAGCACUUUAAACAAAGGCUCGCUCUUUAAACAAAGGCUCGCUCUGACCAUUCUCAGUUGAUUCCACCCACAUAGAUCCAAACGAAAGUUAGCUAUACAAAUAAUUAAGUAAAAAGGAUUAAUUUAUUAACUUUUAGAAAACUCCCUUUUUCUACCCAAAUGGGCCUCCUUGAUCUCAGCUGCUCGUGGACCAUCUUUUCCUUCCCUCCAACUUAUUUGGUGAACAAAUCAAAGCAAAAAGUCUGGCAUCCUUUACUUUAUCGUGGGUGCACGUUGUACAUCUGUUCAUAUAUUGUCCCUGUAUGCAAACAGUUGUUAACUCAGGACAUGCCUAGAGUUGAAUAAAUGGUUUCUUGGUAGACAAAAGGGACUGCACGUGGAAAUUAAAAAAGAAAACUCGCAUGGAGCUCUUGCAAAAAGGAAUAAUAUGCACAUGCUAAGGGUAGUACAAUUAAUCAUCUCUUGUUUAUGUGUGUUUGCAGUAAUAAAAUCUUAAUGCAUAGCAUGCGAGUAUGACAAACGAAGGGUUACUGAUAUGAAAUUGUUUAAAUAUAUCAUAUAUCGCUUGACUGUGAGAUUCAUAUAUUAUUUACGUAAAUAGGAUGUCCCUCGACUUAUUUGCCUAAACUUUUGGGUUAAACAUUUUAAUAUAUUGUCAGUUUCUGCCUCAAUUUAUUUCGCGUGUGUGUCUACUAUAUGUCACUCUUAAUUCAGCUUACACAUUAGAGGGAUUAUUGAAAUAUAUCUCAUCAUAUGCUCUUAUAUACAUGUACUAUCCCUUCAUCUAUAAGUUUAAGUUAUUAUGUUGGACUUUCUAAUGAAAAAUAAUGGAUUGAGACGACUACACCUCACAGCAUGAAUAUGAGUGAGAGUAGGGCAAGAAAUUAAAUUGGUGAAAAAAAAGAAACAAAAACAAAAACGUACCUCCUGGCACCGUAACAUAAAAAUAGCCAAUGGACACGUGUCAACUCGAGACCUUAUAUAAAUGAGAGCGGGAGGUCGUUGCGAAGCAUAAUGGAUCGUGAUAAAAGCA